GGCGUGAUGGCAGAGCGGUCUAAUGCGUGUGACUAGAAUCCGUUUCUCAGAAACAAAUGCUAUCACAUCUCUUCGGAGGCGCAGGUUCAAAUCCUGCUCACGUCG
rnacentral:tRNA from 1 species